GUGAAUCAUCGAAUCUUUGAACGCAAAUUGUACUCUCCUCGGAGAGUAUGCCUGUUUGAGGGCCAGCCUAUACAAAAUCGACAUCGUUGCUGUUUCCCGGUUGCGUUCGUCUGCAAUUGGGUCAUCUUAAAUCUUUGGUUUUUAAGCGACUUAAAAUUUUCUUUUUGGUUCCGUGCGCGUUUCUAAGAUUUAUUUCUUUCCACGUUUAUGGUAUCGAUUUUUAUUCGACGUGUCCAUCAUUUCUGCUCGCGCCCAUCAUCUUUCAUUC
rnacentral:misc_RNA from 1 species